rnacentral:lncRNA from 1 species
GUUGAAUUUGUGCUGACUUCAAUGCUAUGAAAACAACAUUGUCAAAGCACAAUUAAUUAAGUACUUCAAACUUGAUAGAAUUAAUUUUGCAUUUAAUGUGUGUCGUAGUGUUAGUAUGGGCAAGAUCUGUUAUGCACAACUAUAAAAUUCACUGGGGAUGUAAUUCUUGCCAGAUAUUUUGAAGAGUUGUGCAAAUGAAUACUUUGAUAGCUUCCUUGAAGAUCUCUAAGUCAUGUUUAAGGACUUAGGCAGAAUGUAACCUAGAUGGUUAAUACGAGAUAUAACUUUAUUAUGCCUUCUUAAGUAAAAGUGUUUGCUAGAUUGUAUACAUGCUCAAAUAAAAUUGUAUAAAAGUUGAACUAGGAGAAAACACGUUUGUUUUUAUGUGCAUCCCAAAAUAAAGCCGUGGCGUCAGUACAAUCAUUAUACUAGUAAAUGGCUAGUGAGAGUAUCCCAACCCAAUAUAUCUGAUACCAUUAGACUUCACUCUUUUUUUCAGCCAAAUAAGCUCAUGCAUAGGUUCGCGAAUUAAAAUGGGUCACACCCAAGUAUUACACGAAAAACAAAAAAAAGCAAAAAGAAAACUAACAAUUAAUCAUAGACCUUGCCAAAAGAUAAUGAUAUCCAGACCACUGCACUAUAAAAAUAUUUAUUAGGGUCACUACUACAGAAUGAGGCAUUGGUCGAUGCCCAAAAUAGCCAAAAACCUCGGCCUUUUUGCGGCCCGGAGUUAAAGUCCCCUUUAACACUGGUUCGUA